UGCCUUUUUGUGUUGCCCGUUCUUUGCCUUGUCCUCAAAAGAAUGUGGUGUCAAAAAAGGCAUACAGUAAAGUCUUGGUUCGGCCUUUACUGGGUAGCUGUAGUGUUACCUCAUGCAAAGCUCUGUACCAGGAACAUGU